rnacentral:rRNA from 1 species
UACGUAGGGGGCAAGCGUUGUCCGGAUUUAUUGGGCGUAAAGAGCGUGUAGGCGGCUUGGCAAGUCCGCUGUGAAAACUCGAGGCUCAACCUCGAGAGGUCGGUGGAAACUGCCUGGCUAGAGUCCGGAAGAGGAGAGUGGAAUUCCUGGUGUAGCGGUGAAAUGCGCAGAUAUCAGGAAGAACACCCGUGGCGAAGGCGGCAUCCUGGACUGGUCCUGACACUCAUGAGCGAAAGCGUGGGGAGCGAUCCGG